GAGUGGAGGGUAGGAAACAUUAUAGUCUGAGAACGUUCCAUGGUAUGCUGGCACCAGAGGUCUGCAGACGGUGAAAAUCACUGUUUAUCUCCUCUGCAAGAUCUUGAUUAACGGGAGAAAAGGAUUUGUGUGACACGUCUUGGGUGCAGCAACUCUGGUGUGCUUUUUGGUACUUUUUGCCUUUGAUGUCCUGUCUUUUUUCAUCUGUGGGACAUACGGGGCUUUUGGACCUUUACUGCACAGGCGCCCAGCUGAGAAGCCGAGACCCUGGGAAACAUGGCCGGACAGAAAUGUAACCCGCCUAGGAAACAGACUCCACUUUGUGUUUCAUCAAGCUGACAAAGAUGGACUCCUGUGCUCGCUUCGGCAGCGCCUACACUAAGACUGGAACGAUACACGGAAGAUUAGCAUGGCCCCUGCACAAAGCUGACAUGCAAAUUCGUGAAGCGUUCCGUAUUUAAAAAAAGAAAAGAUGGACUCCUGUGGCUCUGAAGUUAAAAGCCCAUCCAAGAGGCCAUGCAGGGUGAGGGUACAGUCACACUCUCUGUGCCCUUGGAAAGUGUUGCGAAACCUGUUUUUCUGCAACCAAGUCAAAGAACAGUUCUUGAACACAACUACAGCUGGAAAUUCCCCAACUGACCACCAGAAGACCACCUGAAACCAGCCAAUGAAGAGACACUGGUGGUUUGGGGGCUCAAAGUUCAUCUGAUCAAGACUCUCAAUUCCACCAUUGGAGGAAAUGUUCCUCACUGCCCUGGUUCCCCUCCCUUGCCCUGCGGUUUUUGCCUUUGUAAUCUUCUACUUACCGACCCCUCCUAGGUGGGCACUUUCAUUUUGCACCAAAAGCUACAUCUCCCCAAUGUACAGAUUGCUUUCAGAAAAUAAAGUUCUCCGUUUUGC